UUCUGACUAUGGGGCAUACUGAUCUCACAACGGCAGUCAAGCACCCAAGCUAACUGGCUAACGUUGGCUAGCUACGUGUCACAUAUUAUAGAACACCUCACUGUUGCUGGCAACAAUUUCAUUACGUUAAGCUUAGUCUUUAGUAACUGUCGAUGAAUUGUGAUACUGAUUUACACUGGCUGUAACAUUCAUCGUCACAGGUUGGUCUGACUUCUCAGAAAACCACGAGGCUCCCAGAAGGUACUGUAACGUUAAUGUGCAUUAAUAGAGGUGACCCAUAAACAUACCUUGUGGUUGGUUUGGAAUAUGCUCUUGAAAUCUGUCUCUGAACAAUGCCCCAGUAUUCAGUUACAAAUUUAAUUUAGCGUGUUACCGGUUGCUGAUGAUGGUGUGAGAACUUGUUUUGGGAUGAAAAAAAGAGAAGCUGUGGUAUGUAUGGGGUCUUACAUAUUCAACGUCAUUGAAAUACUAGCCUGGGCGCCAGUCUGUUUUUAGCCAACUCAUUCAUCAUUGUUGGCUAAAGCAGAACCAGACUGGCACUGAGGCUAGCAGAAUACAACCACUUUCAUGGGCUUCAUAUGAAUGCCUACUGCCGUUGUCCCCCUGUACAAGGCACUUAGCCUAACCUGCUCCAGGGAAACUGCUCUGCAGCUGACCCUGUGCUGUUCGGUGGGAUGGGUACCAUGUCCUCAAAAAUACAAGUUUCCAUUGUGUAAUAAAUAAAUACGGUUUCAAUCUAUGAAUGUUGAUUGUGGUUAUCUUUUCCAGCCUGUGUUCAAGACAUUGCCAGGGCAGAAGAUAACCAGGCUGGAACUUGAUGGGGGCUCUUUGAACACCGCAGGAGAAGAUCUUUGUGUGUGCUGGCUCAGAAGUGAAGGAAUACACCAAUAAAGGCAAACAGUUCCUGUCCUUUGAGGCCAACCUUACAGAAAGCAUUAAUGCCAUGUCAUUUCUUUUACUUUUUGAUUUGACAUAGGUUACCUUGCCUCGGUUCCAGGCCCUCUACACAUGUUCGUUAACAGUGAUGAACGAGACUUGGGAGUAUGGCACGUUUCAGGAGCAGACCUUUUUGUACGUGCGAGUUACAUCUACAACCACUACUGUGAAUGCAAGGACCAAGACUAUUACAUGUCCGGAGACAAAAUCAAUGACAUUGUGUGUUUGUCUGCUGAGAACUUGGGCCGCAUUGUCCAUGUGUUGGCAUGUCAAGACAGAGUUCUGCGUGUUGCAGGGAUCUGAGCUAUUGUAUGAUAUUGAAGUCCCUGGUCCUCCCUCAGUUUUGGAGCUGUACAAUAGAGAUGGAGGCAAGUACAACAUUCUUAUACUGAACUCAAAUGUCAAUUUCACACAUCCCUGUACUUACAGUGCCUUCAGAAAGUAUUCACACCCCUUGACUUUUUCCACAUUUUGUUUGUUACAGCCUGA